UACGGAGGGUGCAAGCGUUAUCCGGAUUUACUGGGUUUAAAGGGUGUGUAGGCGGAUAUUUAAGUCAGAGGUGAAAUCUCCAGGCUCAACCUGGAAACUGCCUUUGAUACUAUUUAUCUUGAAUUUCGUUGAGGUUGGCAGAAUAUAUCAUGUAGCGGUGAAAUGCAUAGAUAUGAUAUAGAAUACCAAUUGCGUAGGCAGCUGGCUGAACGAACAUUGACGCUGAGGCACGAAAGCGUGGGUAGCGAACAGG
rnacentral:rRNA from 1 species